CCAGUAAAUACAUUAUAAACGUAUUUAACGUCGGUUAAUUAACUUUCCAUAUUAGAUUCAGAAAUAAGGUACGAAUUUCCUUGUACGAUUUAUUUACUCUGCCUACGAUUUAAUAGAACUUAUCGGUGAGCGUAACAGACUAUAAUCCGGAAAAUGAUCCGGAGUCGGUUUUCAUGUUAAAACACUGCUGAGAUCUAGAACUUGUGACGCAGACGACGAAAGAACGCUGCAGAACAGAUAAACAAGAACCUUUGUAUAUAUAAAACAGCUUCAUAAUCAUAGGAAAAGAUGACGUCUGCCAUUCAGAAGAUGGUUUUCAACUUGCCCAGAAAAUUGACUACAACUUGUGAACUGUCAGUGUCAAUCCAACCGCACAUACAACUAAUGCAUGAAUGAACUAUCCACCACAGGCUAAGAACAAUGUCUCCAAACGGAACUGGGCCAUUUGAAGUUAGAUGAAAGAUGAUCUGCAUCAUUGCGUUUAUGAUAAUGUGGAAAAACACCAAUUGUUUUGAGGGAAUUUACUCAUAAAGAAAAGAGAGCUGGAGGCAGGAAAAGAACAGACCAGGGAAUCACAGAUCCAUAUCAGAUAAUAAAAUUGAAUCGAAAAUUUAAA